AGUAAGGUCAGCUAAUUAAGCUCUUGGGCCCAUACCCCAAAUAUGUUGGUUAAAAACCUUCCUUUGCUA
rnacentral:tRNA from 1 species